UACGUAGGGGGCUAGCGUUGUCCGGAUUUAUUGGGCGUAAAGAGCGUGUAGGCGGCCAGAUAGGUCCGUUGUGAAAACUCGAGGCUCAACCUCGAGACGCCGAUGGAAACCAUUUGGCUAGAGUCCGGAAGAGGAGAGUGGAAUUCCUGGUGUAGCGGUGAAAUGCGCAGAUAUCAGGAAGAACACCCGUGGCUAAGGCGGCUCUCUAGUACGGUACUGACGCUGAGACGCGAAAGCGUGGGGAGCGAACAGG
rnacentral:rRNA from 1 species